ACAUGCCUACAACAUAGCGUUAAUGCAUUGGAUCCCAUUAGAACUCCACAGUUAAGCGCACUCAGGCUAGAGUAGUUCUUGGAUGGGUGACCACCUGGGAAGUCCUAGUGUUUUACAUGCC
rnacentral:rRNA from 1 species